rnacentral:rRNA from 1 species
UACGUAGGGGGCAAGCGUUGUCCGGAUUUAUUGGGCGUAAAGAGCUCGUAGGUGGUUUGGUAAGUCGGAUGUGAAAUCUCCAGGCUCAACCUGGAGGGGUCAUUCGAUACUGCCAUGACUAGAGGUCGGUAGGGGAGUGUGGAAUUCCUGGUGGAGCGGUGAAAUGCGCAGAUAUCAGGAGGAACACCAAUGGCGAAGGCAGCUCGCUGGGACGUGACUGACGCUGAGACGCGAAAGCGUGGGGAGCAAACAGG